GCAAGUCGAGCGAAGCUUUUCAGUAGUUUACUACAGAAAAUGACUGAGCGGCGAACGGGUGAGUAACGCGUGAGCAAUCUACCUUAGUUACAGGGAUAGCCCGAGGAAACUCGGAUUAAUACCUGAUAUUCUUUAUUUCUCGCAUGAGAAUAAAAGGAAAGGUCAGCCGAACUAAGAUGAGCUCGCGUUCUAUCAGCUAGUUGGUGAGGUAAAAGCUUACCAAGGCUACGACGGAUAGCUGGUCUGAGAGGACGAUCAGCCACACUGGGACUGAGACACGGCUCAGACUCCUACGGGAGGCUGCAGCAGGGAAUAUUGUGCAAUGAACGAAAGUUUGACACAGCGACACCGCGUGUGGGAUGACGGAUCUAGGUUUGUAAACCACUUUUAGGAGGGAAGAAAAUGACGGUACCUCCACAAGAAGCCCCGGCCAACUACGUGCCAGCAGCCGCGGUAAUACGUAGGGGGCGAGCGUUGUCCGGAUUUAUUGGGCGUAAAGAGCUCGUAGGCGGUUCAACAAGUCGGUCGUGAAAGUUCAGGACUCAACCCUGAAAUGUCGAUCGAUACUGUUGUGACUAGGAUACGGUAGAGGUGAGUGGAAUUCCGAGUGUAGCGGUGAAAUGCGUAGAUAUUCGGAGGAACACCAAUUGCGAAGGCAGCUCACUGGGCCGCUAUCGACGCUGAGGAGCGAAAGCUAGGGGAGCAAACAGGAUUAGAUACCCUGGUAGUCCUAGCUGUAAACGAUGGGAUACUAGAUGUAGGAACUGGAUUGACGGUUUCUGUAUCGCAGCUAACGCGUUAAGUAUCCCGCCUGGGGAGUAUGGUCGCAAGACUAAAAC
rnacentral:rRNA from 1 species